CCUACGGGUGGCUGCAGUGAGGAAUAUUGGUCAAUGGGCGGGAGCCUGAACCAGCCAAGUCGCGUGAGGGAAGACGGUCCUACGGAUUGUAAACCUCUUUUGCCGGGGAGCAACGGGGUCCUUGCGAGGGCCCGAUGAGAGUACCCGGAGAAAAAGCAUCGGCUAACUCCGUGCCAGCAGCCGCGGUAAUACGGAGGAUGCGAGCGUUAUCCGGAUUUAUUGGGUUUAAAGGGUGCGUAGGCGGGCUUUUAAGUCAGCGGUAAAAAUUCGGGGCUCAACCCCGUCCGGCCGUUGAAACUGGGGGCCUUGAGUGGGCGAGAAGAAGGCGGAAUGCGUGGUGUAGCGGUGAAAUGCAUAGAUAUCACGCAGAACCCCGAUUGCGAAGGCAGCCUUCCGGCGCCCUACUGACGCUGAGGCACGAAAGUGCGGGGAUCGAACAGGAUUAGAUACCCUUGUAGUC
rnacentral:rRNA from 1 species